rnacentral:rRNA from 1 species
AUUGAACGCUGGCGGCAGGCUUAACACAUGCAAGUCGAGCGGGGAAAGGUAGCUUGCUACCUGACCUAGCGGCGGACGGGUGAGUAAUGCUUAGGAAUCUGCCUAUUAGUGGGGGACAACAUCUCGAAAGGGAUGCUAAUACCGCAUACGUCCUACGGGAGAAAGCAAGGGACCUUCGGGCCUUGCGCUAAUAGAUGAGCCUAAGUCGGAUUAGCUAGUUGGUGGGGUAAAGGCCUACCAAGGCGACGAUCUGUAGCGGGUCUGAGAGGAUGAUCCGCCACACUGGGACUGAGACACGGCCCAGACUCCUACGGGAGGCAGCAGUGGGGAAUAUUGGACAAUGGGGGGAACCCUGAUCCAGCCAUGCCGCGUGUGUGAAGAAGGCCUUUUGGUUGUAAAGCACUAUAAGCGAGGAGGAGGCUACCGAGAUUAAUACUCUUGGAUAGUGGACGUUACUCGCAGAAUAAGCACCGGCUAACUCUGUG